UAGUAUAGUAUUGGGGGAAGGAGUUGCAUGUCAUUUUACAUAAACAAGCCAUCCAUGGAAGAUGUUUAGCAGUAUAAAUAGGCUAUAACAAAAGCAAACAUUAUUAGUUGAAGGAAGGGGGUUGCGAUCGAUUUGUGAGAGGAAGAUAUUAAGCAAUGGAAGGUUUGAUUCCGUACAUUAUUGCUGCGAUAAGGAAGCAAAAGCCUGGGCACAUGAAGAGCAAGAGUUUGUCCCAUUCACAUUCAAAUAGCUCAGAACGCAGUUACCAUUUGCUAUUGGGAUCCGAUUCCUCUGAGUUCUUGGAGUUGGUCAGCUCCACUGCCAAUAACCUUCGUAAUCGUAAAUCAUGAUACCUUCAAUUCAAACAACCACAUCAGUGGAUCGGAAAAUGUUUUUUUUUUUUUCAAUUACUAUUUUAGUCAUUCAUUUGUUGAUAAAUUAAAGCAAUUGUAUAAAUACCUUAUUAGAUUUCUAAUUUCUGUUAGCUGUGCUGCUUGAAUACUGAAUAAAAACAUGUCUCCAUUUUAUAACUUUCCUAUUCGAAUUAAUUUAUAAAGGUCUGGUGCUGCAUGCGACUUUGUAAAAAUGAAACAAGGGUGAAUAAUUGAUUAGAUAAGUGAUUUUUGGG
rnacentral:lncRNA from 1 species